AACUUUGUCCAAAAAUCCAUCGCUAUAGACAGUGCAUUAAGGCGGCUUUCCUCGAGACUUAGCAGUGCCCAGUUUUUGGGUAAUGUUAAUGUCCUCUCAGAAAGUGCAAUCGCCUCAAAUGCGAUCGUUGAUGGAAAGAAUGAUAUUGUAUCUUUUAAGAACCUGUCUGGAAUUAGAUGAAAGAGAGGUGUCAGUGGAUGCAUACAUGU
rfam:Pichia sorbitophila strain CBS 7064 chromosome F complete sequence.